ACUCCUACGGGAGGCAGCAGUGGGAAUAUUGCAGCAAUGGGCGCAAGCCUGAUGCAGCCAUGCCGCGUGUGUGAAGAAGGCCUUCGGGUUGUAAAGCACUUUCAGUCGUGAGGAAGGGUACGGUUAGUAAUUAAGGCAUCACUUAUUAUUUGACGUUAGCGACAGAAGAAGCACCGGCUAACUCCGUGCCAGCAGCCGCGGUAAUACGGAGGGUGCGAGCGUUAAUCGGAAUUACUGGGCGUAAAGCGCAAUGCCAGGCGGCUUGUUAAGUCAGAUGUGAAAGCCCGGGGG
rnacentral:rRNA from 1 species